rnacentral:rRNA from 1 species
AUUUUUAAUAUUAAUUAGUUUAUUUUUAAGAAGAUAUUUAUUUUUUAGUUUUUAAAUAAGAAUUUUAUAUUUAUAGUUAAUUAGUAAUGAAGAUGAAAUAUUUAUUAUUUGUAAAAGAAAAAUUAAUUUUUUGUACCUUGUGUAUCAGGGUUUAUAAAUUUUGAAUUUUGUAAUAAAAUUUUCCCGAAUUAAUAAGAUUUAAGACCUUAUUUAUUUAAUUGUUGAAUAAAUUUUUAUAAUAUGGUUUUUGAAAUGAAACGUUUUCGUUUAUUAAUAUAUCUGGUUUUCUAAGAAAUAAAUUUAAUUUAUCUAUUUUAUUGGUUAAGAUUUUUAAUUAUUUUUUACUAUAAAAUAUGAAAUAUUUUAAGGGAUAAGCUUUAAAAUAAAAUUUUAUAAUUGAUAAUAAAUUUUAGUAUUUAGUUUUAUUAAUGUUAUAAAUCUAUUUAAAAAUUUUAUAAUUUUAUACUAUCUGAAUUUGAUUUUUUAUUAAUUUAAUUUUUUUAUUAGAAAUUUAAAUUUAAUUUUUAAUUUUAAGUUAUUAUUAUAAAAUUAGUAAAUCUUACUUUUUGCUUUAAUUAAGAUUAAAAUUUUAAUUAAGGAACUCGGCAAAUGAUUUUUCGCCUGUUUAAUAAAAACAUGGCCUUUUGAUUUUGAUUUAAGGUCUGUUCUGCUCAAUGAAUAUUUUUAAAUAGCUGCAGUAUCCUGACUGUACAAAGGUAGCAUAAUAAUUUGUCUCUUUAUUGGGGACUGGAAUGAAGGAAUUGACGAGAAAAUAGCUGUCUCAAUUAAAUUAGAUUAAACUUUACUUUUAAGUUCAAAGGCUUAAAUUUAUUUUUUAGACGAGAAGACCCUAUAGAGCUUUAUAUUAUUUGUGGUUAAAAUUAUUUAGUAUUUAUUUAUUUUAUUCUUUUAAUAAUAUUUAAUUGGGGUGAUUUAAAAAUUUAAUUAACUUUUUAUUUAUAUAAUUACUUAUAUGUAAAUGAUAAUUCUAGAUUUUCUAAGAAAAAAAUAAGUUACCUUAGGGAUAACAGCGUUAUUUUGUUUUAGAGUUCUUAUUUAAAACAAUGUUUGCGACCUCGAUGUUGGAUUAAAAUUUAUUUUUGAUGUAGAAGUCAAAAUAUUAAGUCUGUUCGACUUUUAAAAUUUUACAUGAUCUGAGUUUAAACCGGUGUAAGCCAGGUUGGUUUCUAUCUAAAAGAAAAUUAAAAUAAGUUAGUACGAAAGGACCAUUUAUUUAAUAAAUUAUUUUAUUUUUGAAUAAAAUU